rnacentral:lncRNA from 1 species
CUCGUCCCCUAAUCUUGCAUAUAUGGAUUUUCUGGUUUAAUCAACUCUCUGGUUCCACCACCUCAAAUUGGUUCCUCUCCAAGCUCGUUUACCUGAAUUUUUCCCGCUCAAUCAAUUUCGGGACAUCCCAACCAGAAAUUUGGCCUUCUAACAAUCGCGACUCCCCACCAUCACACAAACCAUGAAUGGGUCAAUUCCUCAAGAGAGAAGCCAGUUAAAAGUACUCUUUCAGAGCUUGCUUUGGUACACCAUCGUCUCAUGGGUCCAUUCCUGCGUGCGUUUGGGUUCAUUGGAGCAACUUGACUUCUCUAUAAUAUCUCUACGAAAAAUCAACUUUCAGGUUUCCAUCCCAACCAAAUGUGGAAUCUCUCGUUAAUCUCGUGUUGCUUUUCAUGGAAUCAUAAUAACAAUCGAACAGGUCCUAUUCCUCAACUUUCGUGAACUUUGAAAUAGACUAAAUUGUGUUGGGCCCUUUUUUGUGAACCAACUUUCUGGUUCCAUGCCUCCAGAUUAGGAAACGUGAAGUCCCUCAUCAGUUAGAUUGAGCCCAUCAUCAACUCAAUGGUACCAUUCCAGCCUCAUUAGGUUAACCUUCAAUUAGAUACAAUCUUCUUGCGUGACCACCCAACUUUCAGGUUCCAUUCCAACAGAAUUCGGCAAUUUGAAAAACUUGCUUAUAUUUGCAAUGGACACAAACCAGUUUUCUGGCCAUCUACCGGAGAUUUUCCAAGGUUGGAAACUUCAAAACGUCACUGUGCAAACAAUCAGCUCACGUGGACCAAUCCCCAACAGUCUGAGCGACUGUAAAAGCUAGUCAGAGUCCGCCUUGAGGAACUAAUUCCUGGAAUGCAUAUUGAAUGCCUUUUUGUCUAUCCACAGCUAAUUACUUGGAUUAAGGUCGCAAUAACUUUCAUGGUGAAAUCUCGAAAACUGGAGUAGCUGCCCCCGAUGCAAAAUUUAGCGGGGCAGGAACAAACAUCACCGGCAGCAUAACCACCAGAGUUGGGAGAUUCGCCUCCCUACAAAGGCUUAAAUCUUUCUUCCAAUCAUUUAAUUGAGAUACCAAAGGAAAAUUUUUUUUUUUGGGAAAGUUGAAAUUCUUGGCUGGAAAACUCUAUCUGGCAGACCAACCAACAUUCCGGAGUAUACCUGACAGAACUUGAUCCCUGACUAAACUGCAGAAGCUUGACCUGUCCAACAACAGAGUAAUGGGCCAAUAGCAGCUGGAAUUUGGAGAAUGGAGGCACGAUUAACGUGAUUUGAGCAGCAUAAUUUUAGCCAAGACAUCCCAGCAGCUUAGUAAAUUCCCUCAACUGUCGACCUCUGGAUUAGUAACAAUUCACUCUCAGGUGAAUACGUCGCGAUCGGAAGUUUUUCAAGUUUGGAGGGUUGGUCUCCCCAAAUAAUCUUUUUGGUUCAUUCCCAAGGCCUUUGAAGACAUGCAUUGGUUUUCAGCACGUUGAUAUACUCCUACAAUAUUUGGCGGGUCCCAGUCCCACCAGCAAAGCCUUUAUGAAUCUUCCAUCGAGGCACUGCAAGGGAACAAGAUUUGUGUGGAAUUGUCCACAGGAUUUCACCUGUAAAAAUCAUGUUCGCAGAGGACAACAAGAAUUCACGGAAUAACCGGCACUGCUUAUUCUGUAAUCGUGCCCCCCUCUUUGGGAGUACUUUUACUUCUAGGUGCACUCGCCCGGACUGUGGAUCGCAUUGAAUAACGACAGUAAAAACCAUAAAAUGGGUCCACGAUGAUGAUCUUUUCUCCAUAUCAAUAUACUAGUGGAAGAGCAUGUAUAAUGACAUCCCAAGGCUACCAAACUUUGAUCCUAUAUAUUGCAUAGUAAAGGGAGGAUAUGGGAACUGUCCUACAAAGCAAAACUGUCAUCCAUUCAUGUCAACUACUAACUAUUAGCUGUGAAAGAAACUCCUCCUUUCGAAUUCGACCCGCGAGGGAGAUCUCCAAGGUUUCUUGAACGAGGUUAAGAGCAGUGACAGUAAUUAGGCAUCGCAUAUAGUCAAGCUCUUCGGGUUCUGUUCGCGUGCCCAACACGCGAGUGGGUUUACGAGGACCCCCUCGAAAGGGGUAGCUUGGCUACAAUUUUUGAGCAGAGGAUGAAUAAGCUUCAACAUUAGAUUGCCCAAAGAAGUUAUAGGGUCAAGGGUGUGGCGCAGGCUUUAUCAUAUAUGCAACCAUGAUUGCGCACCCCCAAUUGUUCCCGAGACAUAUCAAGCGCAAUGUUUGUGAUUGACACAGAGUUGAGGCUCUUUAUCAACUUUGGCACAGCUAAGGCUCCGGAAGCUGGAGUCCCUCUAUUGGAGUGCACUUGCAGCGCACAUACGGAUUUAUUGCAACCAAAACGGUAACCCGUAGCUUUAUGUGCUCCUAAAUUGACAUAUAAUCUAUUAAUCACAAAUAGAUGACAUUUCUGUCUCUGUCUCUCUCUCCUCUUUUUCAGAGUUUUGCUGUAUACAAUGAAGGUGACUGAAAAUUUGAUGUAUAUAGCUUUGAGUGGUUAUUACUGGAAGUAUCAAAGGAAGGCAUCCAGGAGAUUUUGUGUUCCUCUCACUGUCAACCCCAGCAGUGGAAAAGAUACGCUGAACGAUGUAAUGGGAUCAACGUCUUUUACCUACCUUUACCCACUCCCUCUCCUCCGAGGAGGAAGGAAAUAUGUGCAAUCAUAAAGAAAUGGCAAUUGCAUGCUUGCAUGUCAUCCACAAUCUAGGCCACACCAUGCAAACGUUUCUCAACUGUUAUCGCAUAACAAUUUCUAAGAGCCUCAAAUAGUGAUGUACAGAAAAUGUAGUAUUGUUGCAACUAAUGAUGUAUUAGAUAUCAGAUAGAUGAAAUAACUGGGGCAUAUUAUUGUUAUUUAUAUUUUAAUUGCCCACUUUAGAGUACAUUAAUCAAUAUAGACAAGUUGUGUCUCGGACUUCUUUACUGAUGGAGAAAGGAUUAGAGCAAUGAUGCAACGUUCACAUAUACGGAAACUUACCUUACACCAGAGGCCUUUGUAAAAUAAUCAGUUAUUUGGUCAUUAGUCUCGAUUGCACCCUUUUUUUGAUUCUAGUACCCAAAAACCUUUUCUCAGCACUCCCGCACUUAUCUCCAAACUGGCAUGCGAUGAUGUGCUCACUUAACUAGGUGUGAUACCUAGUUUGACUCUUCUAUUUGGUCCAAGAUUAUAACCUUCUCUUCCCCCUUCCUCCGAACGAUUGUCGAUAAAAAAUAAAAGAAAAAAACCCGCCAAACCUCAAGCCUAUUCCUAAUCCCCCCCCCAACGCAAGCCACUUAAUCCCACCCCACCCUUAGUUCCUCUCUUGUCGUCACCAUUAUUACUUCCCACCAUCCCUCCCCUAACCACCCACUUUUAUCAUUCAUCAUUGCCGCCACUCUUCCAUAUCUGCCACUGUUCACCCCUCCCCAUUCAAUCUCUGCCACCUAAGCCCAUUCUGCCCGCCUCAGUGACUCAGUCCACCAUACGGUCCACCAUACAACUUUCCUUCACUAUCUAAGAAGAAGAUACGAAUACCCGACACACCAGGAAAAUAAAUGUUAUUGGAGUACAACUCGCCUUAUAAAGUUCAUUGGAAUAAUAAAUGUAAUGAGUUUAUUACAACAAAAAAUGGGCAUUGUAGACCAAUAUUUGAAACAUUAAAUAACCAAAUGUGAAGUCAAAAGAAUUGCAAACUAAUCAUUUUUCUCUUCCCAAGUAGCUCUUUUUUGGCACACUUGACUUUGUUGUUCUCAAGUUUCAUUGAGAAAAUGCCUUGUACUAAGAACGUUCAAAUUCUUAAUUAUAUAGUUCCGUAUCUUUUUAUCCUAUCGACGUGGAACAAUUAAGGGGCUUCCAACCACUCCAUAUUUAUCGCAUACUCAGACUCACAGGUUGGUGAUGUAAAAAUUGGAUAUAUAUAAAUGGCAAUUUCCUAACGACAAUAAAUCUGGAUCCCUCCCCCUCUAUCUGUGCCCUCCCUCUGUCGACCCUCUUUCUUAUCUAUCCAUCACCCUUUGGAAGUUAUGUAUCCUCACCCUAUAUAAUAUAUAUAGAUCUAGAUACACCACACACCAUAUAUGAGGAUGAUACAUACAAACUGAAAACGACAAGGCCCCCGCUGCUACUUGCAAUUUCCUUUUUUUUACUGGAAUCUACGGAUCCCUUCCUUGAAGAUCAAAAGUUUAUAAUAUUCCACAUAUCUAUAAGGAUAUAUACUACACACUGAAACUACAAGGUCCGCGAGCUAAGUGGACAAUUUUUCCUGUGGGGUGUUACUGAUCUAACGAUUCCCUUACUUGAAGAUCAAAAGUUAUCUAUAUAAUAUAUAUAAAAUAUAUAUAUAUCUAUAUAUAUAUAUAUCUAAUAUAAUAUAAGAUAUAACAACACAUAUAUAAGGAUAGAUACAUACAAAACUGAAAACUACAAGGCCCGCUAGUUAAUUUGACAAUUUCCUUUUUUUUACUGAAUCUAACGGAUCCCUUACUUGAAGAUCAAAAGUUAUAUAUAUAUACACAUAUAUAUAAGGAUAAAUACAUACGAAAUUGAAAACUACAAGGCCCGCUAGCUAAUUGGACAAUUUCUUUUUUUUUUACUGAAUAGGAUCCCUUACUUGAAGAUCAAAAGAUAGAUACAAUUUGUUUGCAGUAAUAAUCAAAGUGUGAUGCGCAUUUGCUUCGUGAAUUAGAAUCUGUUCCUUUUCUCGCAUAACUAAUUCGUGAAGUGACCGUUAUAAAACUUGACUCUCCUGCACAAUUUAUUUUGCGGUGAAGAUAAAAUAUGAGUCCUGCGUCCUCGUCUAAUGUGGCCAAGCGAGAAAGCGGUGUUUUAUAUAAAAAUCUAAUUAGGCUGCUAACACCCUUUUAAUCAAAAGCCAGAAUGCAAAGAAGCGAAUUUAUUGCUAUUUAAAUUGUGUUGGGUAAAAUAUUUCGCCUACUAAGAUAGGGCACUUCGCCUGAGAGGUAUAUCACCCUAUCACAUUACAGUCUCAUUGCCACUCCCGCCACUGUUUGCUUUAUCUCAAGAAUCUAUCACCCAAUCACAUUACAGUCCCUGAUCACUCCUCUCCUCCUACUAGUUUGUCUUAUCUUCACAGUAUAUUGGAGUAUGCAUCUUAUCUCUAAUAUCUCCAAUGUUCUCUUGAAGACUUGUCGUUCUCCCCGAGAACUCGACGUUUUAUAAAACGGGAACUAUCUCCAUUAGACUCCAACUCCAGCACGACCCUAAUGGGGCGGAGUGGCUGUCUAAAUGGCAACCUCCUACAUAUCCCGAUAAUAUUAGAUAUUUCUCCAUACUUAUCUUUCGAGGAUCUCGCGUGAUCCUUGACUGACUAUUACUCCCCCUCCUCUAAUCUCGCCGUGAUCCAUUCACAGACCCCAUUCUCCCCCCAUCUUAUGAGUACGAUUUUAAUACGCUCUAUACACACAUCACAAGGCAGUCUCUCCGGAGACUCGUUUUAAUGCUUUGCCUUGCUAUUAUCCGCCUUGAUUUGCACGCCGGGGGAUUUUGAUCGCCUCACCCGGCCGUUUACUUGUGUGGAUCGGGCAGGUCGCCAAAUAUUUGCCUAAUUCAUACCCACCGAGGUUAAAAGAGAAUAUAGACUAUUGGCUUGUUCGCCCUAACUGUUACCAAACAAAAUCUUAAAUCAAAAUAUUAUCUAGGUGGCUACAAAUCCACACAAUACAAACUCAAGAAUGGCCUCCAGUAUUUUGGACAAAUAGAAAUUCUCCAAUUUUUGUUAGAAUUCAAGCCUUUUGCCAUCUGUACCGAAACAAAUGAGAAUUGGCCGCCAGUAUUUGACAAAUAGGAUUCUCUAAUUUUUGUGCAUAAUGUUUCCUGUAAAUUAGAUUCUUAAAAACCAUCGUCAAAUAUACAACGAAAAAAACAUGGAAGCUUUAAGAAAAGACUACGUCUGACUUGUUUGCACUAAUCUUUCUUUUAUUCACCCAAAGCUGCUUCCUGUGAAGAGCUAUGCCUCCUCAAGUGGAACUUCCCUCAAGCGCCAAAAUUUGCUCUGCUAACUUGGGGCACUUUCUUUCUCAUAAUGACUCCAUUUCUUCUUCCCGCCCCGCCCUUCUCCCUAUUUUUUCCGUUAUUCCCUCCCCCUUCCAUCGGCCCUCUGCCCCUCCCAUCUCUUAUGUGCAAAGUUUUUUAUGUCAGGAUAGUCGAAAAUUACAAUCAGAGAGUUGAUUAUGCAUAUUUUAAAAAAUUACAAUAGUAAAAUAAAUUUUUAUUAUUUUAUUCAUUACUGUGGGUUUUCACCAAUGUUUAAUUUCCAAUAUUAUUGCAUAUAAACCUUAAGUAAAAAAAAUAAAUUUUUUAAUCAAUUAUAUUAAAAAGAAAGGUUAUUUUAAGUACAGACAGUGGGGUGCUCAGUGGUUAACACUUAACAACCUCACUUUGAGGUGCUUAUACUGUUUCAAAUCUCGUUCGUUAUUUUAAAUUUAUUUUGAUUAUGCCUGCUAAAACUGCUCCUAAUUACAUAUCUUCUCCAAAUAGUUAAGAAAAUUGCAAAUUGGUCAAAGUAAUAAGCUUAGUCACAACCCCCAGUUGUUAAUAAUGGCAAAUUCGCCACUAUAAUUGGUCCCAUCCCGAAUUUAGAAGGAUUUAGAGGGUCGCAAUACACGUGAGGGGCUUUGGGCAAAUUAUGUAACUUAAAUUCCAACAAUUAAUUCGACCCAGGACCCACCCGAAGUUAAAAGAGAAGGGUUCAAACCCCAUUUUCUACUUGGCCGCAUCUACCCUACCAAACCAGGGGGGUUCGCAUAAAAAAGCUCUCCACAAAAACCCAACGUUGCCCCCAUAUAAUUUUACUAUAAUACCCCUAAUAAUUAUACUAACUUUACUAUAAUACCCCUAUAAUACGCUAGUAAAUAUAUUCACUGUAAAUAUUUAACAAGUUUCCCCUUGAUCAAAAAAAAAAAAAAGUGUGUGGUGGGUGUGGGGCGGGCGGGUAAUUCGAAAACCUGCGGGGUAAGGUGCGGAGGCUAUGAAAAUAUCUCAACAGGUUGCAAGUCAGGUGGGAGUUUGUUAGUAUUAUAUGGUUUAUGGAUGUCAGUUUUGUGCAACCCACUCUUUUGCCAUCCCUGCCAACAAUAACCCCAUCUUCUUUGCAAACCCACCGGCAACACCCUUUCCUUUUCUAUAAGAUUGGUGAUAUUGGAGAAGAGGACAAGUUAGAGAAGGGGUAGAUUAGAGAAAGAGGCUUGCGGAGAAGAUAUAUAUGGAGAAAGAGUGACCAACAUGGGUUGAGGUAAACUAAAUGAUAGCCGAGCCGAGCAAGUUUCAACUUUUUUCUUUCCUAUUUUAUUUUUUUAUUUUAAAUGAAGUAGUAUGAAGAAAACCAAUUAAAUUCAAUUCCAUGCGGUUAGUUAUAAAUAAAAAUCGAUUUUCCCGCGGUAAGAUCUUUAAAUUGACUGAUGUAGAAGUAGUUCGUAAGGGUGGACGGUUCUCCAAGCAAACGUACUUAUUGUCAAAUAUUUUGUGCCUUUACUCGUUAACCACCCUAAAAGCUUGGUGAGUUAAUAGACAACUCAUUUUUUUUUUGAUUUGUCGCCAGUGUUCGACAAAGUAGGGAUGUGAUUUAUCUCAGUGCCCAAAUGUAAUGCUUACACAAGUGUUGAAGUUCUAUCUCUUCAGUGAUUCAUAAUUGUUGGAUUUGCCUUUUUAUCAUCUCAUCUAAAAAUCAAUUCAUGUCCAGUGAAAAAAGACAAAAUCCUUUCAUAACAUUCGUAUUGCAUCCCAUGUGAGCAUAUUUUAAAAGCCGUCUAGAAUAACAUUGCUACUUCCAGGGGCGGAGCCACCCUUGAACUAGAAGGGGCUAUAGCCCCCCUCAAUUUAAAAAAAUUAUAAAAUUUACUUUAAAUUUUUAAUUUUUUUACACUUUAGUCCCUUUUAAAAUAUAUUAUAAUUAUUUUUAUACUUUAACCCCUCCUAACCUAAAAUUCUGGUUCCGCCCCUAGUUACAUCUCAAUAAUAACCAAUCGUUUCCAAGAUAUUCCUUGCUAGUGUGGGAAAUUUCACAUGGUCAAUCUGCAAUGUAAUCGUUAAAAUUUUGGAAAAUUAAGAUGAGUGGAAUAGGGGGGGGGUAUAUAACGUAUCACUAAUGCACAAAAAAUUAAUAAUUUAUCCUAAAUUUUAUAAUUUUUAUUUUCCUGAAUCUAAAUUCUGACAAUUUUAAUCCUGAAUCUAAAUUCUAGCAAUUUUACCCCAUAAAAAUUAAUAAUUUUACUUAAAUUCAAUAAAUUAACAAAUUUUGACCUAGAACCGCUUUCUAUACUGCGUAUGGGGUAUCAGUGUUUGAAAACAACCGGGAGGCUGUUGGUGAGGUGCGGGUGCCACUGGAUCGCUGGGCGGUACGGAGGCUGGCCUGUGUGUUCCACAAUGGUUGGAUUUCCGGUCGGCAAGGACGCGGAGGCCUCGAGCGUGCAGUUUCACGUCCAUGUGAAAAGGCGGACCUAAUCCGGAGUCGUGUUCCAAUUCGACGGCGACCUGAGUGCAGCUCCCAUGUGUUUCAGAUUCCAAGACAAACAUUCGUCAGCGGUGUUCACCUGCAAAUUCAAUUUCAGAAGCAACGACCGCCGACCGGAAUCAAGGUUCCAGGUCGUUUCUCAUCUCCAAUUAUAUCGCGUUUACUCUUUUAUUAAUUCUAGGUUAUGUAACUGUUGACUUCAAAUUUUCUUUGAAUUUUCCCGGGAAACACCGUUCUCCAACGGUAUAUGCUUUACAAUGUCAGAAAAUUUAACACAAUUGACUUUCAAAAACAAAAGUUCGCUGAAUUGUACGGUAAAAGUCUAAAGCUAUGUCAUUGGCUACGUAGUAUCACAUUUUGAUUAUCUAAAAAUUGACAUUUUGAACUAAAUUCGUAAGUCGGUUAUAGUUGAGAUCAUAUUCAUGUCAUUUGUCUACGAGAUCACAUUUUGAUAUCUAAAAGUACCAUUUUGCACACAAUUCGUCAAGUCUUUAUAGUUGAUCAUAAUUUUCCACCCGAUAAGUUUAGUGUAAAAAAGGGACCCAGACAACUUCAAAGUCCCCCUUCAAUGUAAAAUCAUAGCCAGAAUAAUGCGAGGACCUUUAGGAAAUGUGGUCUAAAAUUAGAGCCCUUAAACCAUCAUCAAUAUACAAAAAAUAAGAACAUGUCCCUUUAGAGACAGGUAUCCUGCCUUGUUUCCAUAGUCCGCCUGUAAUGUUUCUGCUCUGUCUCUUCCCCCAAACCUGCUGUCUUCUUCUUCUGAGAGGCUACUGCUCUCCUCAAUGGAAAGCUCUCAUUCAAGCGCCAAAAUUCUCUCUACCAUUCGUGGACAUUCCUCUCGUAAUGGCUCCGGUUCAGUGAAAGCGUCCCAUGGGCCCCCAUUGUAUGGAAUUUUUCUUGCAACGGUGCGGCAUGUCCUCGAAUGAACCUGACCAAAUUCGUCUGUAUCGUAUCUUCGAAGCUUUCAUUCUUCUCUUUCCUAACUGCAUAUAUGGAUUUCUUGGUUUAAUCACUCUCUUUCCAUCCCCCCCAUUUGGUUCCCUCUCCAACUCGUUACCUUGAUUUGUCCGCCAAUCAAUUUUUCGGGGAACAUCCUUCUCCCACCAGAAAUUGCCUGCUAAAAUCUUUCACCCUCCACCUCAACACAAACCAGUUGAAUGGCUAAUUCCUCAAGAGAUAAGCAGUUUAAAGUCUCUUUCAGAGCUUGCCUUUGUACACCAUCGCUCACGUGUCCCCAUCCUCUUCUUUGGGUAAUUUGAUCCAACUUGAGCUCUAUCUCUCACGAAAUCAACUUUCCCUGGCUCCAUUCCACGAAAUGGAAUCUUUGCUAAUCUCUCUCGUGUUGCUUUACAUGGAUCAUAACAUCUAACAUCCCUAUUCCUCUUCACUUUCGUGAACUGAACGGCUAAAUAUGUUUUGAAGCUGUCUGUGACCCCAACUUUCUGUCUGGUUCCAUUCCUCAAAGUAGGAAACUUGAAGUCCCUCAACCAAUUUAGACGUGACCCAGAAUCAACUCAAUGGUAACCAUUCCUCCUCAUUAGGUAACCUGUCCAAAUUAGAAAAAUUAUUCCUGUGUGACAACCAACUUUCUGGUACCAUUCCAGCAGAAUUCGGCAAUUUGAAAAAUUUGCUUAUAUUGGCAAUGGACGUAAAUCAGUUUUCUGGUCAUCUACCGGAGAUUUGCCACGGUGGGAAACUUAAAAACUUCACUGUGCACAACAAUCAGCUCACGGGACCAAUCCCUAAAAGUCUCAGAGACUGUAAAAGCUUAGUCAGAGUCCGCCUUGAAGGAAACCAAUUCACUGGAAAGCAUAUCUGAAGCCUUGGUGUCCUAUCCCAAAUCUAUAUUACUUGUGGAUCUCUUCGCAAUAACGUUCAUGGGAAAUCUCGACAAACUGGAGAGCUGCCCCCACUGCAAAACCUUUAAAAUGAGGCAGGGAAAACAUCACCGGUCUCAUAACCACCAGAGUUAUGCUAUUCCCUCAACGUUCAGAGCUUAACCUUUCUUCCAAUCAUUUGAUUGGGGAGAUCCCAAAGGAAUUGGGAAAGUUGAAUUCUCUGCUGGACUCUAUCUGGCAACAACCACAUUCCGGCGUAUACCUACAGAACCUUGGAUCCCUGACUAACUGGCAGAAGCUGACCUCUGUCAAAAACAGAUUAAGUGCCAAUAGUCACUUGGAAAUUGGGAGAUUCGGCAACUGAAUAACUUGAAUUUGCGCAGCAGAUAAAUUUUAAGCAAGACAUCCCAGAGCACUGAGUAAAUUAACCUACCACCUCAACUGUCCGCCCUGGAGCUGAAAGUAACAAUUCACUCUCAGGUGAGGCUUACCGUCGCAGAUCGGAAAGUUUUCAAAGUUUUGAGUGGUUGAAGUCUCUCCCACAAUAAUCUUUCUGGUUCCAUUUCCCAAGCAUUUAGACAUGCAUUGGUUGAAAAGCACGUUGAUAUAUCCUACAAUGAGUUGGAGUGUCCAUUCCCACCACAAGCCUUUUCUGAAUGCUUCCAUAGAGCACUGCAAGGGAACUAACAUUUGUGUUGCAAUGUCACAGGAUUGCAGCCUUGCAAAAAUCAGUCCAGAUAACAAAAAGACGUCACGGCAUAACCACUCUUAUUCUUGUAUUUGCUCCCUCUUGGCGGAGCACUUUUACUUCUCGGUGCACUUGCCGGACUUGUUGAUCGCAUUGGAUGAAGAAAGAAAAAGGCAGAAAAAGGGUCCUACGUUGAGGAUCUUUUCCUCCAUAUCAAUAUACAUGUAGAGCAUGUAUAAUGGACAUCCCAAUCUACCAGUAACUUUGAUCCUAUAUAUUGGCAUAGGAAAGGGGAGAUUGGAACUUUCUACAAAGCAAAACUGUCAUCCAUUAAAUGGCAGCUGCUAACAUGGUAGCUGUGAGAACUUCAAUCCUCCUGCGCGUGAUUAUCUUCAAGAAUGCUUCUUGAACUAGGUAAUAGCAUUGACAAAAUGAGGGCAUCGAAUAAGUUAAGCUUUUCGGGUUCUUCGCGUGCCCCACACUCUAUGUUGGUUUAACGAUGUACCUUAAAGGGUGUGCUUGUCUACAAUUUUUGAGGCAGAGAUGAAGAAGCUCAACAAUUAAUGGCCAAAUAGAGUUAAUAUUGUCCAAGGUGUGGCGCAAUCGCUGUUUAUCAUCUAUCACCAUGAUUGCACACCCCCAAUUGUUUUCCCGGACGUAUCAGGCAGACAUUUUUGAUUGACAAGGAGUAUGAGGCUCGUGUAUCAGACUUUGCACAGCUAAGCUUCUGAACUCUGGAUUCCUCUAAGGGGAGUGCACGUGCAGGCACAUACGGAUAUGUUUGCACCCAGGUAACCGUAGUUUUUAUGUGCUCCUAAAUUGACAUAGACUCUAUUACUUCGCAAUCGAUGAACAUUUCUUCUGUUUCUGUCUCUCUUCAUUUUCAGAGAGUUUGCUUAUACAAUGAAGGUGACUGAAAAAAGUGUGAAAUGUAUAUAGCUUUGGAGUGUUAGCACUGGAAGUGAUCAAGGAAGGCAUCCAGGAGAUUUUGUUUCCUCACUGUCACCCCAUCAGUGGGAAAAUAUGCAACUGAAAGAUUAUGGACCAACGCCUUUUACCUCCCUCUUGCUCCUCGAGAGGAGGAAAGUAAUAAUAGCGCAUCAUAAAGAUUGGGCAGUGCAUGCUUGCAUGCCAAUCCACAAUCUAAGGCCAACCAUGGCCAAUCUUUUUCUCACGUAUCGGCCAGAUAUAGUUUAUGUAACCGAAAAUGUAAAGCUAUUUUGCACUAAUGAUGUAUUAGAUAUCAAUAGGUAUAAGCUGGGCAUAUUUAUGUUAUAUAUUUAUUAUUUAUGGUCCACUUAGGGUAAAUAAUAUGACAGGAUCAUGACUAAUGUGACAAGGUUGGUUGGUUGUACUUCUAUACUGUCUUGAUAAAGUUAUAGCAAUUGAAUCGCAAGUUUCAAUAUCUAGGAAAACUUCUGCCAGAGUCUUUGUAAAAUAGUCAGUCAUUUGGUCUAUUUAUUCUCGAUUGCACCCUCUUUUUUUGAUUUCUAUACCCAAACCUUUCUCAGCACAAAACCAUUUAAAAUAAACAAGGCUUCCUUUUCUUCUCAAAACAAUCCCCACUUUAUUCCCACCCGCCCAUAUUCAACCUCCAUCCUGACUAGCGAGUGAGAGGGCGCUCACUUACUAGUUGUGAUACCUAGGUUUGACUCUUAUCGUUGCAAGAUAUAACUUCUCUUCCCCUCCGAACGAUUGGCUAUAAAAAAAAUAAGAAAAACAUCCAAACCCCAGGCCUAGCCUAAUCCCAACCUACCAACGUGGCCACUGAUCCCCACCACCACCCUUAGUUCCUCUCUUGUCGUUGCCACUACUCUACCAUCCUCCCCUAACCACCCUAACCCUUUUCCAACCACUGCUGUCCGCUCUUCAAUAUCUGCCACUGUUCACCUCUCCCUAACCCAUCUCUGCCAUCAGGGGUGGAGACAAGAUUUUAAGUUAGGGGGCUAAAGUGUAAAUUUUUUUUUUCCUAGUUUAAAUUUUAUAAUUUUUUAAAAAUGAGGGGGGCUAGCCGGCUAGAGCCCCUCUAACCCCUGCUUGGUACCUCCCUUCUCUGCCACCUCCGCCCAUUCCAUGUGGGCAGCAAGAGCGGUGUUAUGAUAGAAACUUCUAAUUAGCUGCCAAAUACAGCCCUUUUAUCAAAAGCUCGAUGCAAAUAAGCGGAUUUUUGCUAUUAAAAUCUUGAUCAAAAUAUUAUCUAUGGAGGCUACAAAUCAAAACACAAUACAUAUGAUAAUUGCCGCCAGUAUGUGAACCAAAACAAAUUCCUCCAAGUUUUGUGAAUUCCAAGUCCUUGGCCCACUGAUCAAAACAGAUGCACUACAACCUCAUCUCCCCACUGUCGAUUUCACAUUUCGGGAUCUUGAUUUUGUGUGUAACCAGUAUUUUUUGUCAAUUGUAUACUAGAAGGUGUAAGCUCACUCACAAUUUUAAUUAAGCCCAACGCUUUGUCUAAUUAAAAAUUAAUUUCAAAAUAAUCCUAAUGGUGUCCCUUAUAGUAUAAUUGAACUAAAAAGAUAACAAAGAUAAUUUUAAAAUCUUUCUAAAACGAAAUUAUGGGAAUGGGUAUUCAAUUUUUCCACAAUGUUUCCCGGGUCCAUGUUGCGAUGGGUGCCAAUGACGGAUCGAUCAAUAAUUAUUCUCUGGCCUCGGCCUUAUUGUAUAGAAUUAAAUGUAGAAAAGUGCAGAUGCAUAAUUUUUCUAACAAUAGGCAUAGAAUUAAAUGUAGAAACGGGCAAAUCUAGAGGAGUCCAGGAUACAUGAAGAUAGAAUAAUAACCUAAUUUACACGCUAGAAUUGACAAUUGAAUAACCAUAAAAAUAAUUAGAAUGCAGAAAACAAAAUUACCACGGCCUGGGGUCUAACACCGUAAGGGUGGUGCUAGGGUGGGGUCAGGGUGGUGGGAGUGAGCAUGGAUAGGGAAUAGAGGAGAUUGUUGUUAAACAAAGGAUUAGGUGUGUGAUUCAUGCCAGUGACCAAAUCGAAUGCUAACACAAGUGUUGAUGUCCAAAUGUAAUGCUACAUAACUAUUCUAUUGAACCUUCUGCAUAAUGGUAGGUGUCACAGGGGCAAUUUUUCACUACUAAAAACUCAUGUGCGAUGGCACUAAUUGUGGCGCUUAGUCUCACCAACUUUGCACACAUCUAAUGAGAAGUAAUAAUUCGAAAAGGCCACAAAUGAGUUACAUGACAUCAAUCCCGACCUUUUUGUUUACAACCAUAAUAAUGAACCACUUAGGAUUUUUGUACACAGAACCACUUGUUGCACAUCCCGGCACACUAAGUCUACUUAUAUAAACAUUAACAUGCAUCUAGAACCCCCCCUAACUGCUACGAUAUUUGGACCAAUAAAAUCACAGCUUAUGUCAUUACAAUAACUGUUAAUAACUACUUCAGACAACCUAUUGUAUAGAGACAACUUUGAAUAGAAUCAUACAAGUGUAAUUGCCAACACCCACAACUGCUUGUAACUGCCUUGUACACACACACCCAGCAACAUGCUGAUGCCAGUCCAUGCCCAGUGCAUAGGGCUUGUUGCCUGCAUUGUGCGGAAUGUCGUGCUCCCAUCUUUGUUCAAAGCCCACACAAUCACGCAUUUGGGCACAAUUCCGCUUGUGCCUUGCAUCUUCUCAGCAACAUCACUAUCUUGAACAUUCGCUACCUUGUCAAGGCAUACCUCCCUUAUGGCUUUGCCAUCAGGGGUAGCGCAGGUGCAAGGUGCUACCACGCACGAACCCCGUGCCUGUGUCGAAGGACUAGUAUGCUACAGUAGGAAUGUGGAACCUGAUCCCUGUUGGUAUUGGAAAAUUGGACCUAUUCAAUAGGACUAUCUCAUAUGACAAUGUCUUACCAGCUAGGCAAUUUAAACAUCACUAACUACAAAAAUUUGAAAAAUUUACAUGGGUGGAAUGUGGCGAGGCAUGUAUAUUGUAUCACUAACACACCAAGAAGAUGGACCAGCGGCUGAUUUAGAAAGCAAGGAAGACCUGCUUAGGCGCGUUCAGUAGAAUUUAUGUUUCAAGUGCCUCCACUGUAACGUCUCUGACCUGUUUUGGUGUGUGCUAGGUUUACAUUGGAUGUUUUCGUGGGGGUAGGGUUUACUAGAUCCACACAGUCGCUUUCAUCUAACUAGCUUCUGUCUAAGCACUUCACCAAAGCAAGAGAUGAUAGAAGGGACCUAGUCAAUCUUGUGGCUUGUGAUCAUAACUUUUUCCUUUUUCCUCCCUAGUAAACAGGACCCACCACAGCUUAAGUCUCUCCAAAUGUAAAAUCAUACCCACACAACAAUACAAAGGCCUUUAGCACUGAUGUGUCUGUAAAAAGAUUCCUUAAAACCAUCGUCAAGUAUACAAAAAGAAAAAACCAUGGGGUCUGCCCUUGUUUCCAUAUUCCCUGUUGGACUCUCUGUAGGCAGCAAAGCGGCUUCUUUCUUUCUGCUUCUGGUGAAAGGCUAUGCUCUCCUCAAGUGGAAACUUUCCCUUCAAAAUCGCCAAUAUGGCUCUGGCUAACUUUGUGGGCACGGUCUUUUCAUAAUGACUCCAUUUCAGUGCAAGAACCCAUGCAAUUGGUUUGAGUUUCCUGCAAUUACCGAAGGAGCGUCACCAUAUGGAACCUCAACAACUAAUUCAUUCCGAAGUGGUAAUCUUGAAAGCUUGUGCAUUCUCAAUCAUCUCCUGACUUGCCUUAUAAGGAUGAAGGGAACAACAUCAUCGGUAGCAUAACACCAGAGCUAGGAGAUUCACCUUAAUUACAAAGGCAUGAUCUUUCUUCCAAUCAUUUGAGUGAGGAUAUCCCAAAGGAAUUGGUAAAGUUGAAAUCUUUGCUGGAACUCUCCUGGAAGACUAUCAACUUUCCGGAGGUAUCUACAGAACUUGCAUUUCCUACAAGAAGCUGCGAUGGUGGGCUUUAGUUUCUACCCAAAAAUCAAGCAGCCCUUCUCAGCAAUAAUCGUGUCGCCGAUGUAUGACAAAAUAAGAUCCUCAAAUUGUUUUAGAUUUCCAAGUCCAUAGGUAUAGGAAUGUCAUUCAUGCCAGUGCCCAAAAUGUAAUGCUUACAUAAGUGUUAGUGUCCUAUCUCUUCAGUGAUUCAUAAUUGUUGGAUCAGUCUUUUGACCAUCUCAGUAGAAAACCAAUUCCUGCCUAGUGAGGGCAUCCAAAGCCUUUCAUGGGGCAUGUUCUAAGUGCGGGCAGAGUGGCAUUGUUGCAUCCCAACAAUAACCAGUCUAUUGAAGUUUCCAAGAUGAUUCCUUGCUGGUGUAGGAAGUUUCACAUGGUCAAUAUACAAUGAAAACAUCAAAAUUUUGGAAAAUUAAGAUGACUGGAAUAGGGUGGGGGUGUAUGGAAUAGGGUGGGGGUGUAUAACGUAUCACUAAUGCACCGAGAAGAUUCAUAGUAGGGUGUAGAUUGCCAAGUCCAUAGGUAUAAAUUUCUUCUACUCACUCCAUUUUAACGACACUGGCCUGCUUUUCCGUGUGCUAAGUUUACAUAGGAAAUAUUCACGAGGAUCAGGUUUAUUACAUUCAUAGUCAUUUUAGUGUACCUGGCUUCUUUCUAAGCACUUUUCGAAAGCAAGACAUGAUAAAAGGGGACAAGACCUUGACCUCGUAAAGUCUGUAUAGUUGAUCAUAAUUUUUCCACCCUAAUAAGUGUUAGUGGAAAAAAGGGACCCAAGACGACUUCAAAGUCUCCCUUAACUGUAAAAUCAUAGCCAAAAUAAUGCGAGGACCUUAAGAAAAUGUGUUUAUAAAUUAGAGCUUAAACCAUCAUCAAGUAUACAAAAAAGAAGAAACAUGGGACCUUUAGAGAAAGUACCCUGCCUUGUUUCCAUAAUCCUGUUUGUUCUGCUCUUCCCUUCACCCAAAUCUGCUUCUUCUUCUUCUUCUGAAGAGGCUAAUGCUCUCCUCAAAUGGAAAGUGUGGGGGUUCUUUUUGUAAGAUAAGAGAAAUAAUAGAAAGAAAACUAAAAAUAGACAUCUUCGACGGCGAACGGUGUUACUGUUGGCAUGCUGGACCUAGCUGCAACACAGAAGAGCUGCAAAGGUAUUUGUAAGCUUGCUGGACCUAGCUGCAACACAAGAAGCUGAGAACAGGCCGUCCGGAGCUCUCCUACGGGCCCUCCGACGGUCAAUAUAAGACCGGAUAUGAUAUGUAUAUCAAUGUAAAGAUAAAGCGUAAUAUGUAUUCUCAAACUCAAUUGCGUGUGAUAAGAAAGUGUAUGUAGUUCUUCUAGGUCUCAAUUGCGUACCUUGGUGAGAGCUAGGUCAACUCUUCUUUUAUAAGCCUAGCCGCGGUAGGCUACUGACCUAGCAUGCCCCUAAGGCUUGGUUGGGUAGCUAGUCAUCAAUGUCCUCUGAUUCAAGCAUGGAGCUGUCAGAAGAAAGCCUUUUCGUUGCAAAGCACCUCUCUUGUCCCUCCAUGAUAUGCCUCGGGACCACAUUACAUUGUCACAUCCGACCUAGCUCAAGCGUCUCGACCUGCUCAGGCCGUCUCGAACCUAGCUCAGCAUCGCGACCUAGCC